GAGCGCUCUAUCCAUUAUUGACCAAUUCGAGCACGUAUUGGUAAAUUUCACACCGGCAAUUACGGUGAAAUCGUUCGUGGUCGCUGGAAAUUAGCAGUAUCGUUUGCGGUCGUGAGCUGAUUGACACUGCGUGAGCGGGGAAUUAUGUGAAGCAGCUUUGCUUUGUCGUUUCAUGCAUUUAAUAGGUUUACGGCGGUGGACAGAGUUUGUAAAAAAUGAAGACAAGGAGUAACAAGUACCUGCAAAAAUCAUCCAUCAGCCGGAUAUGUGCUGUCGGAGGGUUUUUCAUUAGCAUUCCCGUCUUUCUAACUGGUAUGAUAUUGUAUACAUUCAUCCAGUUUCAUUCGACGCCGGUGUCACGUAAAAUGGAUACUUGGGUUGCGAGAGAAAAGAAAGCUGAGUCGCAGCCCAACUAUUAA